CCGAGUUUACAACUCCCAAACCCCUGUGAACAUACCAAUCGUUGCCUCGGCGGGACCGCCCCGGCGCCCCGGGCCCGGACCCAGGCGCCCGCCGGAGGACCCCUAAACUCACUUGAUUCCACGGUGUAUCUUCUGAGUGACACAAGCAAAUAAAAUCA
rnacentral:misc_RNA from 1 species